rnacentral:rRNA from 1 species
UACGUAGGGGGCAAGCGUUGUCCGGAAUCAUUGGGCGUAAAGCGCGUGUAGGCGGACUGGAAGGUCUGGUGUGAAAGCCCGGGGCUCAACCCCGGAGGGUCACUGGAAACCGACAGUCUUGAGUCCGGAAGAGGAGAGUGGAAUUCCUGGUGUAGCGGUGGAAUGCGCAGAUAUCAGGAGGAACACCUAUGGCGAAGGCAGCUCUCUGGUACGUGACUGACGCUGAGACGCGAAAGCGUGGGGAGCGAACAGG